rnacentral:rRNA from 1 species
GUGCCAGCCGCCGCGGUAAUACGUAGGUGGCAAGCGUUGUCCGGAAUUAUUGGGCGUAAAGCGCGCGCAGGCGGUCUUUUAAGUCUGAUGUGAAAGCCCCCGGCUCAACCGGGGAGGGUCAUUGGAAACUGGAAGACUUGAGUACAGAAGAGGAGAGUGGAAUUCCACGUGUAGCGGUGAAAUGCGUAGAUAUGUGGAGGAACACCAGUGGCGAAGGCGACUCUCUGGUCUGUAACUGACGCUGAGGCGCGAAAGCGUGGGGAGCAAACAGGAUUAGAUACCCCGGUAGUCC